GCACUAAGUACGAUAAAUCACUACGAACAUAAAUCGUAUACACCCCCCGGAAAGUUUACUGUAUGACUGACUGACUGACUGAAUGAAUGAAUGAAUGAAUGAAUGAAUGAAUGAACGAAUGAAUGAACGAUCAGAUGAAUAUUCCUUUAUGUAACCUGAAAAGUCCUUUAGGUAACCUGAUAGGUUACAUAAAGGAUGUGAUGGCCUUUAUGUAACC